UACGGAGGGUGCGAGCGUUGUCCGGAAUCACUGGGCGUAAAGGGCGCGUAGGCGGCUCGACACGCCUGUUGUGAAAUCGCCCGGCUCAACUGGGCGGGGUCAGCGGAUACGGUCGAGCUUGAGCAAGCUAGGGGGCAAUGGAAUUCCCGGUGUAGUGGUGGAAUGCGUAGAUAUCGGGAGGAACACCAGUGGCGAAGGCGGUUGCCUGGGGCUUUGCUGACGCUGAUGCGCGAAAGCGUGGGGAGCGAUCCGG
rnacentral:rRNA from 1 species